AUUUUAUGAGUAUCUCAGUACAUUUGUCUUCCAAACAAAAAGAUAGGUUAAACCUAAUAAAAUAAA
rnacentral:tRNA from 1 species